rnacentral:rRNA from 1 species
UACGUAGGGAGCAAGCGUUAUCCGGAUUUAUUGGGUGUAAAGGGUGCGUAGACGGGAAAUUAAGUUAGUUGUGAAAUCCCUCGGCUCAACUGAGGAACUGCAACUAAAACUGAUUUUCUUGAGUGCAGGAGAGGAAAGUGGAAUUCCUAGUGUAGCGGUGAAAUGCGUAGAUAUCAGGAGGAACACCAGUGGCGAAGGCGACUUUCUGGACUGCAACUGACGUUGAGGCACGAAAGUGUGGGGAGCAAACAGG